rnacentral:rRNA from 1 species
UACGUAGGGGGCUAGCGUUGUCCGGAGUCAUUGGGCGUAAAGAGCGUGUAGGCGGCCCGGUAAGUCCGCUGUGAAAGUCGGGGGCUCAACCCUCGAAUGCCGGUGGAUACUGUCGGGCUAGAGUGCGGAAGAGGCGAGUGGAAUUCCUGGUGUAGCGGUGAAAUGCGCAGAUAUCAGGAGGAACACCAAUGGCGAAGGCAGCUCGCUGGGACGUCACUGACGCUGGAGACGCGAAAGCGUGGGGAGCAAACAGG